rnacentral:lncRNA from 1 species
CUUGGAUACAUUUCAAGACUACAUACGGGGGAAAACUGAAUGUCUGCAAGAUAAUACAGGUCUUGUGGGUCUUACCUUCAGUGCUGUUUCCAGUAUCGGAAAGACUGGUGCUUUCUGGAAUAGUCGACCAAGCCCCAUGGAUAAGGACUCCAAGCCAAAGGACAGCCCCUACCAAGAGAACCGGCUGCGUUUCCUGCCUACGUCUGAAUAAUGAUUUCAGUGCCUUGCCAAGCUGUGUGUGCGGUACAAACUAUCAUCCCACUCUCCCUCGGGAACCAGGUAUCACUUCGCUGUUGUGAUGCCACAAAGCCUGCCUCUCAGGGCUCC